CCGCCACUCAGCGAGCUAGAGCUCUAAAAAUUCACUCAGUUCACAAAGCCAUCGGGUAACCUCCGUGUCUGUGAAAAUUCAUCUCGACAGACGAAGCACAGGUCCCUGCAACAGUCUGACGUCAGAAUGGUGGUCCUGGACAUCACCAUUCCCACAGGCUUUGUCCCUGACAAUAAAGACCUUGAGAUGGUAGGAAGUGCAUUGUGGGAACUAUCUGGUAGACAGGCAGACUUCUCCUUGUGUCGGUCCAUCAACGGUGUAUUUUGAAACCUGAAUUCAAGGACUAUAAGCACAGGCACAGGACCGCCGCUGCACCAAGUUCUACAACCCGCUCACAGAGGGGGCGGAGCUACAGAAGAUCUGCAGCAAUGACACCUGUCAUUGUGCUGAGGGUACACCUACACCCUGGGGAAGAGGAGCUGGGUGGAGCGGUGGCCCUCCGAGGCUGAAUGCGGGGGUGACGUGGGACUCGCCAAGAGGUGCGCCCAGCUGGCUGCGGUUAUCUCUGUCCUUAUGGAGAAGGGCUGCCUGUCCUGAGUGACUAAAACUAUGCGGCUUUGCCAAAAUUAUAGAGCCCCGUCCCUGGAUUCAUGGGACCCCGGCAUACCUCAGACCAUUGUACCAUUCCGCAGUGUAAAUACACACAUUGCCAUGCACUGAAAACUAUACCAUAGUAUACUGAAUAGUGAAUGUGAUUGUGUGGCUCUCCAAAUAUGUUUUCCAUUACAUGCCAAUAUAUUACAUGCCAGGUUUUAUUCAGAAGACAUUCUCUGUCAGUUAUAUUGAUAUGCAUCCCACUGAGAGAAAGGUGGCUACAAUUGUAUUUAUGCAUUUCCUAAUGUGACAAUAAAACAUAGUUCAAUGCAAUUUAAGUUUUAUCUCUUUCAGCUGUAUACAGUGACACAAACGCACGGAUUGUGUGGGCUUACAGACCCUCCAGCAU